UAGGGAGUCUUCGGCAAUGGGGGCAACCCUGACCGAGCAACGCCGCGUGAGUGAAGAAGGUUUUCGGAUCGUAAAGCUCUGUUGUAAGUCAAGAACGAGUGUGAGAGUGGAAAGUUCACACUGUGACGGUAGCUUACCAGAAAGGGACGGCUAACUACGUGCCAGCAGCCGCGGUAAUACGUAGGUCCCGAGCGUUGUCCGGAUUUAUUGGGCGUAAAGCGAGCGCAGGCGGUUUGAUAAGUCUGAAGUUAAAGGCUGUGGCUCAACCAUAGUUCGCUUUGGAAACUGUCAAACUUGAGUGCAGAAGGGGAGAGUGGAAUUCCAUGUGUAGCGGUGAAAUGCGUAGAUAUAUGGAGGAACACCGGUGGCGAAAGCGGCUCUCUGGUCUGUAACUGACGCUGAGGCUCGAAAGCGUGGGGAGCGAACAGGAUUAGAUACCCUGGUAGUCCACGCCGUAAACGAUGAGUGCUAGGUGUUGGAUCCUUUCCGGGAUUCAGUGCCGCAGCUAACGCAUUAAGCACUCCGCCUGGGGAGUACGACCGCAAGGUUG
rnacentral:rRNA from 1 species